GGCGGCGUGCCUAAUACAUGCAAGUCGAGCGGACAGAUGGGAGCUUGCUCCCUGAAGUCAGCGGCGGACGGGUGAGUAACACGUGGGCAACCUGCCUGUAAGACUGGGAUAACUCCGGGAAACCGGGGCUAAUACCGGAUAAUUCUUUCCCUCACAUGAGGGAAAGCUGAAAGAUGGUUUCGGCUAUCACUUACAGAUGGGCCCGCGGCGCAUUAGCUAGUUGGUGAGGUAACGGCUCACCAAGGCAACGAUGCGUAGCCGACCUGAGAGGGUGAUCGGCCACACUGGGACUGAGACACGGCCCAGACUCCUACGGGAGGCAGCAGUAGGGAAUCUUCCGCAAUGGACGAAAGUCUGACGGAGCAACGCCGCGUGAGUGAUGAAGGUUUUCGGAUCGUAAAACUCUGUUGUUAGGGAAGAACAAGUACCGGAGUAACUGCCGGUACCUUGACGGUACCUAACCAGAAAGCCACGGCUAACUACGUGCCAGCA
rnacentral:rRNA from 2 species